GUCUACAGCCAUGCUACCCUGAACAAGCCUGAUUCCGUCUGAUCUCGGAAGCUAGGCAGGGUCGGGCCAGGUGCUGUAAGUG
rnacentral:rRNA from 1 species